CGGUCUCAGUUCGGAUUGAAGGCUGAAAUUCGCCUUCAUGAAGCUGGAAUUGCUAGUAAUGGCAGGUCAGCAUACUGCCGUGAAUACGUUCCCGGGCCUUGUACACACCGCCCGUCACACCAUGAGAGUUGGAAAUACCCGAAGCCUGUGAGCUAACUGUAAAGAGGCAGCAGUCGAAGGUAGAGCCAAUGAUUGGGGUGAAGUCGUAACAAGGUAUC
rnacentral:rRNA from 1 species